GUAGGUGGGUUUGUAAGUCAGAUGUGAAUGCCUUCUGUUCAAAGGAAGAACGGCAUCUGAAACUGCAGAUCUUGAGUGUAGGAGGGGAGAGUGGGACUUCUGGUGGAGCGGUGAAAUGCGUAGAUAUCAGAAGGAACGUCGGCGGCGAAAGCGACUCUCUGGCCUAUUACUGACACUGAGUGUGCGAAAGUUAGGGGAGCAAACGGGAUUAGAUACCCCGGUAGUCCUAACUGUAAACGAU
rnacentral:rRNA from 1 species